rnacentral:tRNA from 1 species
GGAGAGAUGUCCGAGUGGUUUAAGGAGCUGGUCUUGAAAACCAGUGAUCCCUCACGGGACCGUGGGUUCGAAUCCCACUCUCUCCGCCA